GUACGCUGGCGGCACGCCUAACACAUGCAAGUCGAACGAAGUAGCAAUACUUAGUGGCAGACGGGUGAGUAACAUGUAGGUAUCUGCCCUAUGGCCUGGAAUAACACGAGGAAACUUGUGCUAAUACCGGAUAAGUCUUUACGGAGAAAGCUUUAUGCACCAUUGGAUGAGCCUGCACUUGAUUAGUUUGUUGGUGGGGUAAUGGCCUACCAAGACUGUGAUCAAUAGCUGAUUUGAGAGGAUGAUCAGCCACAUUGGGACUGAGACACGGCCCAAACUCCUACGGGAGGCAGCAGUGGGGAAUCUUGCACAAUGGAGGAAACUCUGAUGCAGCGAUGCCGCGUGAGUGAAGAAGGCCUUUGGGUUGUAAAGCUCUUUCGUCGGGGAAGAAAAUGACUGUACCCGAAUAAGAAGGUCCGGCUAACU
rnacentral:rRNA from 1 species